rnacentral:rRNA from 1 species
AGUGAACGCUGGCGGUAGGCCUAACACAUGCAAGUCGAACGGCAGCACAGUAAGAGCUUGCUCUUACGGGUGGCGAGUGGCGGACGGGUGAGGAAUACAUCGGAAUCUACUUUUUCGUGGGGGAUAACGUAGGGAAACUUACGCUAAUACCGCAUACGACCUACGGGUGAAAGCAGGGGAUCUUCGGACCUUGCGCGAUUGAAUGAGCCGAUGUCGGAUUAGCUAGUUGGCGGGGUAAAGGCCCACCAAGGCGACGAUCCGUAGCUGGUCUGAGAGGAUGAUCAGCCACACUGGAACUGAGACACGGUCCAGCCUCCUACGGGAGGCAGAAGUGGGGAAUAUUGGACAAGGGGCGAAAGCCUGAUCCAGCCAUACCGCGUGGGUGAAGAAGGCCUUCGGGUUGUAAAGCCCUUUUGUUGGGAAAGAAAAGCAGCAGGUUAAUACCCCGCUGUUCUGACGGUACCAAAAGAAUAAGCACCGGCUAACUUCGU